GACGAACGCUGGCGGCGUGCUUAACACAUGCAAGUCGAACGGAAAGGCCCUGCUUUUGUGGGGUGCUCGAGUGGCGAACGGGUGAGUAACACGUGAGUAACCUGCCCUUGACUUUGGGAUAACUUCAGGAAACUGGGGCUAAUACCGGAUAGGAUCUCCUGCUGCAUGGUGGGGGUUGGAAAGUCUCGGCGGUUGGGGAUGGACUGGCGGCUUAUCAGCUUGUUGGUGGGGUAGUGGCUUACCAAGGCUUUGACGGGUAGCCGGCCUGAGAGGGUGACCGGGCACAUGGGGACUGAGAGAGGGCCCAGACUGCUACGGGAGGCAGCAGUGGGGAAUAUUGCACAAUGGGCGGAAGCCUGAUGCAGAAACGCCGCGUGCGGGAUGACGGCCUUCGGGUUGUAAACCGCUUUCGCCUGUGACGAAGCGGGAGUGACGGUAAUGGGUAAAGAAGCACCGGCUAACUACGUG
rnacentral:rRNA from 1 species